GCCAAAGAAACAAAAGUGAUCCAGGAGACCAAAGGACAGAAAUUUGGAGAUCUUGUGGUUUAUUCCCUCCUCUCACAGAGGCAGCUCAGGCACAGGGUGACUUUGCUCCAGGAUUGUCACAGGCUCAGGAACGCUGCCCUGAAAUCCCUAAAGGAGGGCACAGGCCUGGAACACCUCUUGGAAGAUUUAUCAGUGGAUGAUGCCAGCAGGGACAUUUUGCACCUCCUGGAGGACAACACCGAAUAUUUGUUUUUAGUGCUGGAAUUUAUGCAAGCUGUAAGGUCAUUACAGCUGAGAGAAACUCACUUUAAGGAAAUAAUCAGAAGUUUAAAAGGCUGUAACCAGAAGUUUGUGAAUGAUGCAAACAUCAUAACCAAUGGAGUGAAAAAAUUCAGAGAGCAGAAAAUCAGCAAGCUGAAGGAACACCUGAAGCACUUCCUGGAAAAGAAAAAAACUGAAAAUAUUUCGAGUAGUUUUGAUCCA